GAAAUGCGAUAAGUAAUGUGAAUUGCAGAAUUCAGUGAAUCAUCGAAUCUUUGAACGCACAUUGCGCCCCCUGGUAUUCCGGGGGGCAUGCCUGUUCGAGCGUCAUUACACCACUCAAGCUCAGCUUGGUAUUGGGCCCUCGUCCCUCGGGACGUGCCUGAAAAUCAGUGGCGGUGCUGCCUGACUUCAAGCGUAGUAAUUUCUACCCUCGCUUUGGAAGCUCGGGACGUGUGCCUGCCAUACAACCCCCAUCUUUUUAUGGUUGACCUCGGAUCAGGUAGGGAUACCCGCUGAACUUAA
rnacentral:misc_RNA from 1 species